rnacentral:misc_RNA from 1 species
GUGAAUCAUCAAAUUUUUGAACGCAAAUUGCACUCCCUGGUAUUCCGGGGAGUAUGCCUGUUUGAGGGUCGUUAGAACAAAAAUAGAAGCGUCGCUCUUUUUUUUUAAGGGUGAUCGUGUCGGAAUUGAGCCGUCUUUCAAAUGUUAAUUCAUGUAAAAGUGGCUUGAAAUUCAUCCAUACGGUACGAUUAAAGCCUAUUACAGACCAAACAUGA